ACGAACGCUGGCGGCGUGCUUAACACAUGCAAGUCGUACGGUAAGGCCCUUUCGGGGGUACACGAGUGGCGACCGGGUGAGUAACACGUGAGUAACCUGCCCACAACUUUGGGAUAACGCUAGGAAACUGGUGCUAAUACUGGAUAUGUGCUCCUUCUGCAUGGUGGGGGUUGGAAAGCUCCGGCGGUUGUGGAUGGACUCGCGGCCUAUCAGCUUGUUGGUGGGGUAGUGGCCUACCAAGGCGGCGACGGGUAGCCGGCCUGAGAGGGUGACCGGCCACAUUGGGACUGAGAUACGGCCCAGACUCCUACGGGAGGCAGCAGUGGGGAAGAUUGCACAAUGGGCGCAAGCCUGAUGCAGCAACGCCGCGUGCGGGAUGACGGCCUUCGGGUUGUAAACCGCUUUCAGCAGGGACGAAGCUUUUUGUGACGGUACCUGCAGAAGAAGCACCGGCUAACUACGUG
rnacentral:rRNA from 1 species